GGAGGCAGAGUCUUGAAAGCGUACAGACAUGCUGGUUGGAUAACAGUUCGUGUGGUGAAAGGGAAGACUUGUCCCGGGAGCCGCGUAUGCAUUGAGGCACUGCUAACCAUCCUACCUCGCAGAGACCUGCACCCUCGCCUGGUGUCGAAUCCCUCAAUGUCUUUGUGGCAUCCUGCUACACUUACUCCUGUCGUCCUGUAGAGAUGGCCAUCGAUGACCGACUAGACUACACAACUCAAGGUGUUUACUUUGGAUGCCCUCCCAGGCACUCCUCCCAGGGCUUAAUGACUGGAUUUACUGCAUCAAUUAGCCAUCAGGGUCUCUGAGAGGCCUGGCUGGCUGAUCGAUUGUUCUGUAGCAGCUGAUGUCCCCUCGCCGUGCUGUUCUGCACUGCUCUGGACCAUGCUAACUGCAUGUCUGAAUGUAAACCUAGUACAAUGUAAUUAAAUUAAAUAAAACAUUUUCUACUCAAGGUUA